AAAAAGAUAAGCUAAAUUAAGCUAAUGGGCUCAUACCUCAUUUAUGAAAAAUUUCUCUUUUUA
rnacentral:tRNA from 1 species